ensembl:lncRNA
UGACAAGGUAAUGUCAGCUGUUAUGACCAUAUUAUGACAGGUUAUGACAAGGUAAUGUCAGCUGUUAUGACCAUAUUAUGACAGGGUAAUGUCAGCUGUUAUGACCAUAUUAUGACAGGUUAAUGUCAGCUGUUAUGACCCUAUUAUAACAGGGUAAUGUCAGCUGUUAUGACCAUAUUAUGACAGGGUAAUGUCAGCUGUUAUGACCAUAUUAUGACAGGUUAAUGUCAGCUGUUAUGACCAUAUUAUGACAGGUAAUGUCAGCUGUUAUGACCCUAUUAUGACAGGUUAAUGUCAGCUGUUAUGACCAUAUUAUAACAGGUUAAUGUCAGCUGUUAUGACCAUAUUAUGACAGGUUAAUGUCAGCUGUUAUGACCAUAUUAUGACAGGUUAAUGUCAGCUGUUAUGACCCUAUUAUAACAGGUUAAUGUCAGCUGUUAUGACCAUAUUAUGACAGGUUAAUGUCAGCUGUUAUGACCAUAUUAUGACAGGUUAAUGUCAGCUGUUAUGACCAUAUUAGGACAGGUUAAUGUCAGCUGUUAUGACCAUAUUAGGACAGGUUAAUGUCAGCUGUUAUGACCAUAUUAG